AUAUGGGCGUGGCGAAUAGCGCCGGCUAGGUCUUCCAACCUCUAGGUGGGGCGCCAGCCGGGGCGAGCCCAGCACCCCGGCCGGGCAGUAGUUUUUUUUUUUUGCAUACACCAGUUCUCAGGAUAUCGGAAUCCGGUGCACAGCAGCUUCUUCAGGUUUGAGGUUCCGGAUGCCUGGGGGCGGAGAAACGGGAGGGGAAAAACAGAUGGCAAGGUGAGGCGUCCAUGGAACGACUUCUGGCCCAGCUGUGCGGCAGCAGCGCAGCGUGGCCGCUCCCGCUGUGGGAGGGGGACACCACAGGCCACUGCUUCACCCAGCUGGUGCUCAGCGCCCUGCCCCACGCGCUCCUCGCCGUGCUCAGUGCCUGUUACUUGGGCACCCCGAGGAGUCCAGAUUACAUCCUACCCUGCAGUCCUGGAUGGCGCCUCCGACUUGCAGCUUCCUUCCUGCUUUCCGUCUUCCCGCUGCUAGACCUCCUUCCAGUUGCUUUGCCACCAGGGGCAGGCCCAGGACCCAUAGGGCUAGAGGUGUUGGCAGGGUGCGUGGCAGCUGUGGCCUGGAUCAGCCACAGCCUGGCCCUGUGGGUGUUGGCACAUUCCCCUCAUGGCCACUCCCGGGGUCCCUUGGCCUUGGCCCUGGUAGCCUUGCUGCCAGCUCCAGCCCUAGUGCUGACCGUGUUGUGGCAUUGCCAGCGAGGCACACUUCUGCCCCCACUUCUCCCAGGGCCCGUGGCCCGCCUAUGCUUGCUCAUCCUGCAGCUGGCUGCACUCUUGGCCUAUGCACUGGGAUGGGCAGCUCCUGGGGGACCACGAGAACCCUGGGCUCAGGAGCCCCUCCUGCCUGAGGAUCAAGAACCUGAGGUGGCUGAAGAUGGGGAGAGUUGGCUGUCACGCUUUUCCUAUGCCUGGCUGGCACCCUUGCUGGCCCGUGGGGCCUGUGGAGAGCUCCGGCAGCCUCAGGACAUUUGCCGCCUCCCCCACAGACUGCAGCCAACCUACCUGGCUCGUGUCUUCCAGGCACACUGGCAGGAGGGGGCACGGCUGUGGAGGGCCUUGUAUGGGGCCUUUGGACGGUGCUAUCUGGCACUUGGACUGCUGAAGCUGGUGGGGACCAUGUUGGGAUUCUCAGGGCCCCUGUUGCUCUCCCUACUGGUGGGCUUCCUGGAAGAGGGGCAGGAGCCACUAAGCCACGGCCUGCUCUAUGCUCUGGGGCUAGCCGGUGGGGCUGUGCUGGGUGCUGUGCUGCAGAAUCAGUAUGGGUAUGAGGUAUAUAAGGUAACACUUCAGGCACGGGGGGCUGUGCUGAACAUCCUGUACUGCAAGGCUUUACAGCUGGGGCCCAGCCGCCCUCCUACUGGGGAGGCCCUGAACCUACUAGGCACUGACUCUGAACGGCUGCUUAACUUUGCUGGGAGCUUCCAUGAAGCCUGGGGCCUGCCCCUGCAGCUGGCCAUCACCCUCUACCUGCUGUACCAGCAGGUAGGCGUGGCCUUCGUGGGUGGUCUCAUCUUGGCACUGCUGCUGGUACCCGUCAACAAAGUGAUUGCCACCCGCAUCAUGGCCAGCAACCAGGAAAUGCUACAGCACAAGGAUGCGCGGGUUAAGCUUGUGACAGAGCUGCUGAGUGGCAUUCGGGUCAUCAAGUUCUGCGGGUGGGAGCAGGCACUGGGAGCCCGAGUAGAGGCCUGCCGGGCUCGAGAGCUGGGGCAACUCCGGGUCAUCAAAUACCUGGAUGCGGCCUGUGUAUACCUGUGGGCUGCCCUACCGGUUGUCAUCUCCAUCGUUAUCUUCAUCACCUAUGUCCUCAUGGGGCACCAGCUCACUGCCACCAAGGUGUUCACGGCCCUGGCACUGGUGCGAAUGCUCAUUCUUCCUCUCAACAACUUCCCUUGGGUGAUCAAUGGCCUCCUGGAGGCCAAAGUGUCCUUGGACCGGAUCCAGCUUUUCCUCGACCUUCCAAACCACAACCCCCAGGCCUACUACAGCCCAGAUUGUGGUAGAUUAGGAGCCCAAAUCAAGUGGCUUCUCUGUUCAGAUCCCCCUGCAGAGCCAUCUACAGUAUUGGAGCUGCAUGGAGCCUUGUUCUCCUGGGACCCAGUUGGAACCAGCCAGGAGACCUUCAUCAGUCAUCUUGAAGUGAAAAAGGGUAUGCUGGUGGGCAUCGUGGGGAAGGUCGGCUGUGGGAAGAGCUCCCUGCUGGCUGCCAUCGCUGGAGAGCUCCACAGGCUGCGUGGGCAUGUGGCAGUGCAGGGGCUGUCCAAGGGCUUUGGCCUGGCCACCCAGGAACCCUGGAUCCAGUUUGCCACCAUCCGAGACAACAUCCUCUUUGGGAAGACAUUUGAUGCACAGCUGUACAAGGAGGUGCUAGAAGCCUGCGCCCUCAAUGAUGACCUCAGUAUCCUGCCUGCUGGAGACCAGACAGAGGUGGGGGAGAAGGGUGUCACCCUUAGCGGAGGACAGCGUGCCCGGAUUGCCCUUGCUCGUGCUGUCUACCAGGAAAAGGAGCUCUAUCUCCUCGAUGACCCUCUGGCCGCUGUGGAUGCAGAUGUGGCCAACCACCUGCUGCACAGGUGCAUCCUGGGCAUGCUGAGCCACACCACACGGCUGCUCUGCACCCACCGCACUGAGUACCUGGAGAGGGCUGACGCGGUGCUGCUGAUGGAGGCCGGGCGCCUCAUCCGGGCUGGACCUCCCUCUGAGAUUCUGCCACUGGUACAAGCUGUCCCCAAAGCCUGGGCUGAGAAUGGACAAGAGUCUGACUCAGCCACAGCCCAGUCAGUACAGAACCCAGAGAAAACAAAGGAGGGGCUGGAGGAGGAGCAGAGCACAUCUGGUCGCCUGCUGCAGGAAGAAAGCAAGAAGGAGGGCGCCGUGGCCUUGCACGUGUACCAAGCUUACUGGAAGGCCGUGGGCCAGGGCUUGGCCUUAGCCAUCCUCUUCUCUCUGCUUCUCAUGCAAGCCACGCGGAACGCUGCUGACUGGUGGCUCUCCCACUGGAUCUCUCAGCUGAAGGCUGAGAAUAGCUCCCAGGAGGCGCAACCCUCCACCAGCCCAGCUUCUAUGGGGCUCUUCUCUCCGCAGCUGCUCCUCUUUUCCCCUGGAAACCUCUACACCCCAGUGUUCCCACUGCCCAAAGCUGCCCCCAAUGGCUCCUCAGACAUCCGUUUCUACCUCACCGUGUAUGCGACCAUUGCUGGUGUCAAUUCCCUCUGCACCCUUCUCCGGGCAGUGCUCUUUGCAGCAGGCACCCUUCAAGCAGCUGCCACUCUGCAUCGCCGCCUGCUGCAUCGAGUCCUUAUGGCACCAGUGACUUUCUUCAAUGCCACACCCACGGGCCGGAUCCUAAACCGCUUCUCCUCUGAUGUGGCCUGUGCGGAUGACAGCCUGCCCUUCAUCCUCAACAUCCUCCUGGCCAAUGCGGCAGGCCUGCUGGGGCUCCUGGCCGUGCUGGGCUCUGGCCUGCCCUGGCUGCUGCUCCUGCUGCCGCCUUUGAGCAUCAUGUACUAUCACGUGCAGCGCCACUACAGGGCCUCCUCACGGGAGCUGCGGCGCCUGGGCAGCCUCACCCUGUCUCCACUGUAUAGCCAUCUGGCCGAUACCUUGGCUGGCCUCUCUGUGCUCCGGGCCACAGGGGCCACCUACAGGUUUGAGGAGGAGAACCUGCGACUCCUUGAGCUAAACCAGAGGUGCCAGUUUGCCACCAGUGCCACAGUGCAGUGGCUGGACAUUCGGCUACAGCUCAUGGGGGCGGCAGUGGUCAGCGCUAUCGCAGGCAUCGCUCUGGUGCAGCACCAGCAGGGCCUCGCUAACCCAGGUGCCACCCAGGACCCCUCACCCCUACCUCACCCACAAGGCUGGUGGGCUUGUCACUGUCUUAUGCCCUGUCCCUGACGGGCCUGCUCUCGGGCCUGGUGAGCAGCUUCACACAGACAGAGGCCAUGCUGGUGAGCGUCGAGCGGCUGGAAGAGUACACCUGUGACCUGCCCCAGGAACCCCAGGGCCAGCCACUGCAGCUGGGCACCGGCUGGCUGACCCAGGGGGGCGUGGAGUUCCAGGACGUGGUGUUGGCGUACCGGCCAGGGCUGCCGAAUGCCCUGGAUGGAGUGACCUUCUGCGUGCAGCCUGGAGAGAAGUUGGGCAUCGUGGGCCGCACAGGCUCCGGCAAGUCUUCCCUGUUGUUGGUGCUCUUCCGGCUGCUAGAGCCCAGUUCAGGGCGAGUGCUGCUGGACGGCGUGGACACCAGCCAGCUGGAGCUGGCCCAGCUCAGAUCCCAGCUGGCUAUCAUCCCCCAGGAGCCCUUUUUGUUCAGUGGGACUGUUCGGGAAAACCUGGACCCCCAGGGCCUACAUAAGGACAGGACCUUGUGGCAGGCCCUGGAGCAGUGCCACCUGAGUGAGGUGAUUACAUCCAUGGGUGGUCUGGAUGGUGAGCUGGGUGAGGGGGGCCGGAGCUUAUCUCUUGGGCAGAGGCAGCUGUUGUGUUUGGCCAGGGCUCUCCUCACAGAUGCCAAGAUCCUGUGUAUCGAUGAGGCCACAGCAAGCGUGGACCAGAAGACAGACCAGCUGCUCCAGCAGACCAUCUGCAAACGCUUUGCCAACAAGACAGUGCUGACCAUUGCCCAUAGGCUCAACACGAUCCUGAACUCAGACCGGGUACUGGUGCUACAAGCGGGGAGAGUGGUAGAGCUGGACUCCCCGGCCACGCUGCGCAACCAGCCCCACUCCCUGUUCCAGCAGCUGCUGCAGAGCAGCCAGCAGGGAGUCCCUGCCUCACUCGGAGGUCCCUGAGCCCAAUCCCACACCCUGCAGAGUUCUCCCCUCUCUCUGAUCCAGGCCGGGCCUGUACAGAGGUGCUGGCUGCUUGUUUACAUUCUCCUCUGGGGCUCUACCUCUUCACACUUCCCCAGAAGGGAAAAGGGCACCCUGGGUUACUCUUUGGAAAUCACUCCUUGGUGGGCAGCAUCCUGAGGCUUCCCCAGAACCAGGCCUCUGCUCUGGCCCUCUUGCAUCUGGAACGCCAGGUGGGUUUUUCUGGCAUAGGAGGCCACUUGCAUUUUCAUAGUUUUAUUUGAUAAAAUUCCAUCUUACAUUCUGUGUAUUAAAAAAAUAAUAUUUCUGGUGUGA